rnacentral:sRNA from 1 species
GAGCAGUCCACGCCUUGUGGCGGCUUUGCGGAGCUGCUGCUUUGGCGGGAGUUGGCGGCUGGUGUGAGGUUUCUGUGGGGAGAAGGAGAGUGCCAGAGGUGACUGGUUCGUGGUUCUUCUAGGCUCUCAUGGCCACCAUGUUGGAAGGCAGAUGCCAAACUCAGCCAAGGAGCAGCCCCAGUGGCCGAGAGACUAGCCUGUGGUCGUCAGGCUUUGGGAUGAAGCUGGAGGCUGUCACUCCAUUCCUGGGGAAGUAUCGCCCCUUUGUGGGUCGCUGUUGCCAGACCUGCACCCCCAAGAGCUGGGAGUCCCUCUUCCACAGAAGCAUAAUGGACCUAGGCUUCUGCAAUGUGAUCCUGGUGAAGGAGGAGAACACAAGGUUUCGGGGCUGGCUGGUUCGGAGGCUCUGCUAUUUCCUGUGGUCCCUGGAGCAGCACAUCCCCCCCUGCCAGGAUGUCCCACAGAAGAUCAUGGAAAGCACCGGGGUGCAGAACCUCCUCUCAGGGAGGGUCCCAGGAGGCACUGGGGAAGGCCAGGUGCCUGACCUUGUGAAGAAGGAGGUACAGCGCAUCCUGGGUCACAUCCAGGCCCCACCCCGUCCCUUCCUGGUCAGGCUGUUCAGCUGGGCGCUGCUGAGGUUCCUGAACUGCCUGUUCCUGAAUGUGCAGCUCCACAAGGGUCAGAUGAAGAUGGUCCAGAAGGCCGCCCAGGCAGGCUUGCCGCUUGUCCUCCUCUCUACUCACAAAACCCUCCUGGAUGGGAUCCUGCUGCCCUUUAUGCUGCUCUCCCAGGGCCUGGGUGUGCUCCGUGUGGCCUGGGACUCCCGCACCUGCUCCCCUGCCCUCAGAGCUCUGCUGAGGAAGCUUGGGGGGCUUUUCCUGCCCCCAGAGGCCAGCCUCUCCCUGGACAGCUCUGAGGGGCUCCUUGCAAGGGCUGUGGUCCAGGCGGUCAUAGAGCAGCUGCUGGUUAGUGGGCAGCCCCUGCUCAUCUUCCUGGAGGAACCUCCUGGGGCUCUGGGGCCACGGCUGUCAGCCCUGGGCCAGGCUUGGGUGGGGUUUGUGGUGCAGGCAGUCCAGGUGGGCAUCGUCCCAGAUGCUCUGCUGGUACCAGUGGCCGUCACCUAUGACCUGGUUCCGGAUGCACCGUGUGACAUAGACCAUGCCUCGGCCCCCCUGGGGCUGUGGACAGGAGCUCUGGCUGUCCUACGUAGCUUGUGGAGCUGCUGGGGCUGCAGCCACCGGAUCUGCUCCCGGGUGCACCUAGCUCAGCCCUUUUCCCUGCAGGAAUACAUCGUCAGUGCCAGAAGCUGCUGGGGCGGCAGACAGACCCUGGAGCAGCUACUGCAGCCCAUCGUGCUGGGCCAAUGUACUGCUGUCCCAGACACUGAGAAGGAGCAGGAGUGGACCCCCAUAACUGGGCCUCUCCUGGCCCUCAAGGAAGAGGACCAGCUUCUGGUCAGGAGACUGAGCUGUCAUGUCCUGAGUGCCAGUGUAGGGAGCUCUGCGGUGAUGAGCACGGCCAUCAUGGCAACGCUGCUGCUCUUCAAGCAUCAGAAG